GUCCCUUCCAACACUACAAUUCUAUGAUGCUAUGAUUCUAGAACUCCUAGAAUCAUAGAAUCAUAGAGUUGGAAGAGAC